AGAGUUUGAUCCUGGCUCAGAACGAACGCUGGCGGCAGGCUUAACACAUGCAAGUCGAACGCCCCGCAAGGGGAGUGGCAGACGGGUGAGUAACGCGUGGGAAUCUACCGUACCCUACGGAAUAACGCAUGGAAACGUGUGCUAAUACCGUAUACGCCCUACGGGGGAAAGAUUUAUCGGGGUAUGAUGAGCCCGCGUUGGAUUAGCUAGUUGGUGGGGUAAAGGCCUACCAAGGCGACGAUCCAUAGCUGGUCUGAGAGGAUGAUCAGCCACAUUGGGACUGAGACACGGCCCAAACUCCUACGGGAGGCAGCAGUGGGGAAUAUUGGACAAUGGGCGCAAGCCUGAUCCAGCCAUGCCGCGUGAGUGAUGAAGGUCUUAGGAUUGUAAAGCUCUUUCACCGAUGAAGAUAAUGACGGUAGUCGGAGAAGAAGCCCCGGCUAACUUCGUGCCAGCAGCCGCGGUAAUACGAAGGGGGCUAGCGUUGUUCGGAAUUACUGGGCGUAAAGCGCACGUAGGCGGAUAUUUAAGUCAGGGGUGAAAUCCCGCAGCUCAACUGCGGAACUGCCUUUGAUACUGGGUAUCUCGAGUAUGGAAGAGGUGAGUGGAAUUCCGAGUGUAGAGGUGAAAUUCGUAGAUAUUCGGAGGAACACCAGUGGCGAAGGCGGCUCACUGGUCCAUUACUGACGCUGAGGUGCGAAAGCGUGGGGAGCAAACAGGAUUAGAUACCCUGGUAGUCG
rnacentral:rRNA from 1 species